rnacentral:rRNA from 1 species
ACGGGAGGCAGCAGUGGGGAAUAUUGCACAAUGGGCGCAAGCCUGAUGCAGCGACGCCGCGUGAGCGAAGAAGUAUUUCGGUAUGUAAAGCUCUAUCAGCAGGGAAGAAAAUGACGGUACCUGACUAAGAAGCCCCGGCUAAUUACGUGCCAGCAGCCGCGGUAAUACGUAGGGGGCAAGCGUUAUCCGGAUUUACUGGGUGUAAAGGGAGCGUAGACGGCGCUGCAAGUCAGAUGUGAAAGGCUGAGGCUUAACCCCGGGACUGCAUUUGAAACUGCAGUGCUCGAGUGCCGGAGAGGUAAGCGGAAUUCCUAGUGUAGCGGUGAAAUGCGUAGAUAUUAGGAGGAACACCAGUGGCGAAGGCGGCUUACUGGACGGUAACUGACGUUGAGGCUCGAAAGCGUGGGGAGCAAACAGGAUUAGAUACCCUGGUA